rnacentral:rRNA from 1 species
CACGUAGGGCGCAAGCGUUGUCCGGAAUUAUUGGGCGUAAAGAGCUCGUAGGUGGUUUGUUACGUCUGCUGUGAAAUCCUAGGGCUUAACCCUGGGCUUGCAGUGGAUACGGGCAGACUAGAGUUCGGUAGGGGAGACUGGAAUUCCUGGUGUAGCGGUGAAAUGCGCAGAUAUCAGGAGGAACACCGGUGGCGAAGGCGGGUCUCUGGGCCGAAACUGACGCUGGAGGAGCGAAAGCGUGGGGAGCAAACAGG